GACGAACGCUGGCGGCGUGCUUAACACAUGCAAGUCGAACGGAAAGGCCCUGCUUUUGUGGGGUGCUCGAGUGGCGAACGGGUGAGUAACACGUGAGUAACCUGCCCUUGACUUUGGGAUAACUUCAGGAAACUGGGGCUAAUACCGGAUAGGAGCUCCUGCUGCAUGGUGGGGGUUGGAAAGUUUCGGCGGCUGGGGAUGGACUCGCGGCUUAUCAGCUUGUUGGUGGGGUAGUGGCUUACCAAGGCUUUGACGGGUAGCCGGCCUGAGAGGGUGAGCGGCCAACAUGGGCUAGCGGUGCGCACGAGGCUGCAGCGGGAGGCAGCAGCGGGGAAUAGGGCAGGAUGGCCUGAGGCCUGAUCAACGAAGGCGCCGUGGGGGAAGAGUGCCUUCGGGUAAUAAACCGAGGUCCCCUGUCAAGCAGCGUGCGUGCAGGCACUGAAUAAGGAAGAACAGACUAGCCACAUC
rnacentral:rRNA from 1 species